CUUCUCCUACGGGGGGCAGCAGUGGGGAAUAUUGCACAAUGGGGGGAACCCUGAUGCAGCGACGCCGCGUGGGAGAAGAAGUCAUUCGUGACGUAAAGCCCUAUCAGCAGGGAAGAAAAUGACGGUACCUGAAGAAGAAGCCACGGCUAACUACGUGCCAGCAGCCGCGGUAAUACGUAGGUGGCAAGCGUUAUCCGGAAUUACUGGGUGUAAAGGGUGUUUAGGCGGGUUUGCAAGUCAGAUGUGAAAAUU
rnacentral:rRNA from 1 species